rnacentral:rRNA from 1 species
AGUGAACGCUGGCGGUAGGCCUAACACAUGCAAGUCAAACGGCAGCACAGUAAGAGCUUGCUCUUACGGGUGGCGAGUGGCGGACGGGUGAGGAAUACAUCGGAAUCUACUUUUUCGUGGGGGAUAACGUAGGGAAACUUACGCUAAUACCGCAUACGACCUACGGGUGAAAGCAGGGGAUCUUCGGACCUUGCGCGAUUGAAUGAGCCGAUGUCGGAUUAGCUAGUUGGCGGGGUAAAGGCCCACCAAGGCGACGAUCCGUAGCUGGUCUGAGAGGAUGAUCAGCCACACUGGAACUGAGACACGGUCCAGACUCCUACGGGAGGCAGCAGUGGGGAAUAUUGGACAAUGGGCGCAAGCCUGAUCCAGCCAUACCGCGUGGGUGAAGAAGGCCUUCGGGUUGCAAAGCCCUUUUGUUGGGAAAGAAAAGCAGCAGGUUAAUACCCCGCUGUUCUGACGGUACCCAAAGAAUAAGCACCGGCUAACUUCGUG